rnacentral:rRNA from 1 species
UACCCGCAGCACAAGUGGUGGUCAUUAUUAUUGGGCCUAAAGCGUCCGUAGCUGGCUUGCUAGAUGCCUGGGUAAAUCGAUGCGCUCAACGUAUCGAAUUCCGGGUAGACCGGCAAGCUCGAGACCGGGAGAGGUGUAGGCUACUCGAGGGGUAGGGGUAAAAUCCUGUAAUCCUUCGGGGAGGACCAGUGGCGAAGGCGCUACACUAGAACGGCUCUGACAGUGAGGGACGAAGCCCUGGGGCGCAAACCGG